CUAGGGAGGUCACAGUAGCCUAGCCUGGGAUGCUGGAACCCAAGAGGGAUGACUAUGACGUCUGUGGUACAGAGCUCUGAAGAGAAAGAAAAAGAGAAGCAGAAGAAGGACAAGAAGAAGGAGAAGGAAGAAGAAAGAAUUAUAAUUUUCCUCAUUUCCAAUGCAAAAAAACAGGUAAUAGAAUGGUUACAUGUCCAAGAUUACAUCAUUUAAAAACAUUAAGAC
rnacentral:lncRNA from 10 species